UUAUUUAAAAAAUAGAGAAAAAAAAAUUAACUAGAUUCCGUGUCAUCAUUUCGAAUUCACACCUUCAUCU
rnacentral:ribozyme from 12 species